AACGAACGCUGGCGGCAGGCCUAACACAUGCAAGUCGAGCGAGGUAGCAAUACCUAGCGGCGGACGGGUGAGUAACGCGUGGGAACGUGCCCCUUGGUACGGAAUAGCCCCGGGAAACUGGGAGUAAUACCGUAUGAGCUCUACGGAGGAAAGAUUUAUCGCCAAGGGAUCGGCCCGCGUUGGAUUAGGUAGUUGGUGGGGUAAUGGCCUACCAAGCCGACGAUCCAUAGCUGGUUUGAGAGGAUGAUCAGCCACACUGGGACUGAGACACGGCCCAGAAUCCUGCGGGAGGCAGCAGUGGGGAAUCUUAGACAAUGGGCGCAAGCCUGAUCUAGCCAUGCCGCGUGAGCGAUGAAGGCCUUAGGGUUGUAAAGCUCUUUCAGCUGGGAAGAUAAUGACUGUACCAGCAGAAGAAGCCCCGGCUAACUCCGUGCCAGCCGCCGCUGUAA
rnacentral:rRNA from 1 species